GAAAUAAUUUAAAUUAAGCUUCUAACUUAAAUUUUAAGCGUUAAUAAACGUUUUUAUUUCU
rnacentral:tRNA from 1 species